GAAAGACGCAUCAUUAGUUAUCAUCCCUAAUUCUCUGAGUACUUUUUCUUUGGCCACUAGCAUCAGUGGCCAUUUU
rnacentral:sRNA from 1 species